rnacentral:tRNA from 1 species
GCGCUGGUCGCUCAAAGGUAGAGCGUUCGACUGAAAUACCAAUGUUCGUGGGUUAAAAUCCCAGUUUUGGCA